AGCAGCCGCGGUAAUUCCAGCUCCAAUAGCGUAUAUUAAAGUUGUUGCAGUUAAAAAGCUCGUAGUUGAAUUUCGGGACCAAUAUGUCGGUCGUGCUUCGGUACGUACUUGCAUUAUUGGUUUCUCCCUUCUGAGGAACCAUGAUGUCAUUAAUUUGGUGUCGUGGGAAAUCAGGACUGUUACUUUGAAAAAAUUAGAGUGUUUAAAGCAGGCUCGCGCUUGAAUACAUUAGCAUGGAAUAAUGAAAUAGGACGUUUGAUUCUAUUUUGUUGGUUUCUAGGGUCGACGUAAUGAUUAAUAGGGAUAGUUGGGGGCAUUAAUAUUCAAUUGUCAGAGGUGAAAUUCUUGGAUUUAUUGAAGACUAACUACUGCGAAAGCAUUUGCCAAGGAUGUUUUCAUUAAUCAAGAACGAAAGUUAGGGGAAUCGAAGACGAUCAGAUACCGUCGUAGUCUUAACCAUAAACUAUGCCGACUAGGGAUCGGAUGAUGUAUUUUGAUUGACUCAUUCGGCGCCUUACGG
rnacentral:rRNA from 1 species